rnacentral:rRNA from 1 species
GGAAUAUUGGGCAAUGGAGGAAACUCUGACCCAGCCAUGCCGCGUGAGUGAAGAAGGUUUUCGAAUUGUAAAGCUCUUUCGGAUGUGACGAUGAUGACGGUAACAUCUAAAGAAGCCCCGGCAAACUUCGUGCCAGCAGCCGCGGUAAUACGAAGGGGGCGAGCGUUGUUCGGAAUUACUGGGCGUAAAGGGUGUGUAGGCGGAGCAGUAAGAUAGCGGUGAAAUACCUGAGCUUAACUUAGGAAUUGCCGUUAUAACUAUUGUUCUAGAGUGAUAGAGAGGAUAUUGGAAUACCCAGUGUAGAGGUGAAAUUCGUAGAUAUUGGGUAGAACACCGGAGGCGAAGGCGAGUAUCUGGCUAUCAACUGACGCUGAGGCACGAAAGCAUGGGGAUCAAACA